AGUGAACGCUGGCGGUAGGCCUAACACAUGCAAGUCGGACGGCAGCACAGUAAGAGCUUGCUCUUACGGGUGGCGAGUGGCGGACGGGUGAGGAAUACAUCGGAAUCUACUUUUUCGUGGGGGAUAACGUAGGGAAACUUACGCUAAUACCGCAUACGACCUACGGGUGAAAGCAGGGGAUCUUCGGACCUUGCGCGAUUGAAUGAGCCGAUGUCGGAUUAGCUAGUUGGCGGGGUAAAGGCCCACCAAGGCGACGAUCCGUAGCUGGUCUGAGAGGAUGAUCAGCCACACUGGAACUGAGACACGGUCCAGACUCCUACGGGAGGCAGCAGUGGGGAAUAUUGGACAAUGGGCGCAAACCUGAUCCAGCCAUACCGCGUGGGUGAAGAGGGCCUUCGGGUUGUAAAGCCCUUUUGUUGGGAAAGAAAAGCAGCAGGUUAAUACCCCGCUGUUCUGACGGUACCCAAAGAAUAAGCACCGGCUAACUUCGUG
rnacentral:rRNA from 1 species